rnacentral:rRNA from 1 species
UACAGAGGUCUCAAGCGUUGUUCGGAUUCAUUGGGCGUAAAGGGCGCGUAGGCGGCAAGGCAAGUCGGGUGUGAAAGCUUGGGGCUUAACCCCGAAAGGGCACUCGAAACUGCGUUGCUAGAGGGCCGGAGAGGAGAUCGGAAUUCACGGUGUAGCAGUGAAAUGCGUAGAGCUCGUGAGGAAGACCGGUGGCGAAGGCGGAUCUCUGGACGGCCCCUGACGCUGAGGCGCGAAGGCUGAGGGGAGCAACGGGG